rnacentral:sRNA from 1 species
UUCAACUUGUUGCGAUGUGGCCUCACCUU